UCCCCCAAUCUUGAAUCCAUUAAUAUAAAUCCAACAACUUCUAUCUUUACAUGCUUAUUCGUCUCAGGUUUUUCUUUUUUUGUUAAUUAUUUAUUUAUUUAUUUCUCAUCAAAAAUCUCCACUAACUUUUUUUGUUAAUUAAUUUGUUGGGAUGUUAGGGUUGUUUUGUAAGUUGUGUCGAAAAUGGAUGGAGACGUGAGAAUAAAACGGCAUGGGAGGAAUUGGCAAGAUUAAGGUAAUCUCUACCUCUUCCUGGAUAGAUCUUGGAACAAAUUCACUUUAAGCUUCUAAUCGUGUAUUUUCUUGGAAAUUAAAUUACUUCAUUGCACCACUGAUUCCUCUAGGAAUUCUUUAUCAUGAGUAAUUCCGUACAUGAAUCAUCAUCUUUAUGAAUACGGAGUGCCAGAGUAUUGUUGAGGUCGAGAUUUUUUCUUUUAUGGUUUUUUAUUUAGAGAUUAUACAUCGUUGAUUUUAAGGCGGAUUUUUGAAAAAAAUCGACAUAAAUAAUUGGUUUGAUUUUAAUGGGUCAAUUAGAUAGUUGCUGAUGUACCAACUUAUCCGAAUUUUUAGGUUUUUAUAUCGAGAUGAUGCAUCGUGUGACUCCUGAGAUUCAUAUAGUUCGUUGUUUUUCCUCUGUCUAUUCUUGACAUAUUGAUUUGUGAUGGGGCUAUGUUGUGGGGAUAGGGAAGAAUUGAAGUUGGGGUUUGAGAAAUUUGCUACUAUUUUAAUUGUUUAACUAGUGAUGGUGAUCUGUUCGAUGAAAUGCCUGCCCUGACUUCAUAUUGAAUUUGGAUAUGAUGAUAGUUUUGCUAUUUUAUUUAUUCUACUGUGAACUUAUGGGUCUAGAAUUAGUUGUUUUAAUUGUGUUCUUGUUUGUUUCUCAACAUUGUCUUACAGUCCCUUAAAUAAUACAAUGUUUGUGAAAAUUCUUGUUUUCUCCUUCUUGACUUGAUCUUUUCUCAAGAUUGAAAUUGAAAUUGAACUUUUUCUCAAGAUGUCCAUAUUUACAUUCUAUGUUGUUUGGGUUGGCAAGUGCUCCGGUAUUUAUAGCACAUGGCCCAGGGUGAGGAGGGUGAACGUAUUACACCUUUGAUGCGGCAUAUUAUGCAAAGUACUUACCGGCUAAUGCAUAUGCAUAUUAUGCAAGGUACCUUUUGCGGAUGCACUGACAACGUUGGCCUCCUUGAUUCACAUACCUGACAAGAAAAUAUGUCAAGCAUCACAUUUGUCCUGCAAAAAGCCCCAGCUUAUAGGAACUAUGUUGGAGAAGUAUAUGAUGAGCUACCUCGCAUCCAAAACCCUUGGUAUCGACAUAACGGAUGAGUUAAUUUAAAAUUGUAAUAUGACUUCUGUAUGACUGGUGUAUUGUUGCUACAUUGGUGUUGUUCUGAUUCUGUUUUGCUGUUUCAUUUUGUAAUACACGAUAAUUAUAAUAUAGACCCUAUUUCUAAGGCAGUUGUAAUGCAUACUUUUAUGUAAACUUUGUUUUGGCUUGAUGGCUGCUCGAUGUAAAUAAUUUUGUUUAUUAAUUAUGCCUUUUGAUUGGGUUAAUCAGGGGCAAUCAGGGGCAGAACUGUGUAUAUUUCAGGGGGUUUUUGAAUAGGCAUGUAUAUUAUGCGUGUGUUAGUCACCUAUCUUAGAACAAGACAACGAAUCACAUUUCAUCUCUAUUGUUUUGCUUAAAUCUGCAAAUUAUGAACUUGC
rnacentral:lncRNA from 1 species